UACGUAGGGGGCAAGCGUUGUCCGGAUUUCUUAGGCGUAAAGAGCGUGUAGGCGGCCGCACAGGUCCGUUGUGAAAACUGGAGGCUUAACCUUCAGACGUCGAUGGAAACCGUGCGGCUAGAGUCCGGAAGAGGAGAAUGGAAUUCCUGUGUAGCGGUGAAAUGCGCAGAUAUCAGGAAGAACACCCGUGGCUAAGGCGGUUCUCUAGUACGGUACUGACGCUGAGACGCGAAAGCGUGGGGAGCGAACAGG
rnacentral:rRNA from 1 species